UACGUAGGGCGCGAACGUUGCGCGGAGUUACUGGGCGUAAAGGGUGCGUAGGCGGCUAAGUAAGUGGUUGGUGAAAUUCCACGGCUCAACCGUGGAACUGCCCUUCAAACUGGUAGACUUGAGGUCGGGAGAGGUAGGCGGAAUUCCCAGUGUAGGGGUGAAAUCCGUAGAUAUCGGGAGGAACGCCAGUGGCGAAGGCGGCCGUCUGGAACGGUCCUGACACUGAGGGACGAAAGCUAGGGGAGCGAACCGG
rnacentral:rRNA from 1 species